rnacentral:lncRNA from 1 species
AACAACAACAAGAGCAUUAGCAGCAGCAGCAGUGGCGGCGGCCAGUGAGAAGAGCUUGUUGUUGCUUGCGCUCUUUGGAAAUAUACUAGAAAUACGUAUACAUACAUAUGUAUAUAUCCACGCAGACAUAUAAACAAUAUAUAUAUGUGUGUGUAUAUAUAUAGAUACAAUUAAGUUGAUAUAAUCUAAUAUAUAUAUAUAUAUAUAUAUACAUACAAACAAACAAAUUAACACAUAUAUAAAUAUAUGUAAACAUAUCUACAUAAAUAUACUCACACAUAUAUGUAUCUAUAUAUAUAUAUAUAUAUAUAUAUAUAUACUCAUGCCUGUGUAGGAAGGAAAGUACCUUGUGUGUAUUAUUAACAAGCGACGCAGCAGACCGUUUAUUAUAUUGUACUUAUUAUACACAUGUGCUGGAUUUAUAGCACGGCCAGAAACGUCCAUCAUCGUCAUUCACUUCCUCUUCAUCACUAUUAUUAUUAUUAUUAUUACUAUUAUUGUUGCUGUGUUACAUUCUGUCAAUGUGUUCCACUUAUACAUCCCGGAGUAUGUCGCUUGCUGCAUUUUACUGUUGUUACUAUUAUUAUUACUACCAUCCUUAUUCGUGACAUCGCCGCCGCAUCAUCAUCAACAUCAUUAUUAUUAUUAUUAUUAUUAUCCGCAUCUUAUUCACCCUUAUCUUCUUCGUUUUUUCGUAUUCAUCAUCGUUAUCAUCGUCAAUGCCACCUCUGCAAGUGUAAACCACCACCAUCCUUUCUUUUAUCAACAUAAAAAAAAGCAACAGUAUUAUGACAGUACGAUUAUAGUAAAAGAAAAUUCAUCGAGAAGAGAAAGCAAUAUACAUACGUGUGUGUAUAUAUAUAUAUAUAUAUAUAUACAUAUAUAUCUUACCAUCGUCGUCAUAUUUCAAAAAUCUUUGCUAGCCAAAUCGGAUAUAUAUGAAAACUAUCUGCUUACAUUUUGAAAAAAAAGUAAAAUUUUUUUAGUGAUAUACGAACUAACCUUUUCUACAUCUUUCAACACAUUUUUACUCGUACACACUUUUUUAUAAUUUUUUCCCCCUUUUUGUUUGCUUCCAAAUUUCCGCCCUCUUUCUCUUAAAUCCAACAAGCCCCAAUUUUACUCUGUGUGGUUGUGUGUGUCCCCGUAUAUAUAUAUAUAUAUAUAUAUAUAUAUAUAUAUAUAUACGAACGUACAUACACGUGUGUUCUGCUCUUGGAUUUACAAAUGUAUAUAUAUUAAAAAAAAAAGAUCGCUGUCUUUUAAAAAGAGGAUUUAAACCAAAAUUUUCAACGUUAAACUUUUUAAAACAAAAAUGGAUAUAUACAAAAGAGAAAGAGGAAAUACUUUCCGGUUAUUAAUAUUUUUAUCAUUGUCAUAAAUUUAGCACACGAAACAAAAAAUACUUUGCAGUGUUUAAAAUUGUUUCAUUCUCCCAGAUAUUUUUUUCUUCUUCCUUUGUUGGGAGAAAAGAGAAUUUACAGUAGAAACAAACCUUCAGCUGUCCCUCCAGUGUAAAAAUUACUUUAAAAAAAAAAAAUUUUAAAAGGGAAAAAAAAACGUGAGAAAAAAAAUUAAAUUAAAUUAACGAAAGACAAAAAAAACAUGAGCCUUCUCGCAUAUAAACACAUUUAUUCACAUAUAUACAAACACAUACGCAGACGCAAAUAUUGAAGUACUAAAAUAGCACAACAAACAAUAUUUAACCAUGUGGAGCAUUUUACAUGCAUAUCAAUAUUCUAAAGUUGGACCUACUAUUCCUUAUCCAAAAGCUACUUACAGGUAAGUGUGGUUUAUUUAUACACACACAUACACGCUCAUAUAUAUAUCAUAUAUAUACGCACACUCUACCUUACACAAUACCAUACAAUUGUACGUAUACACAUUCACAUGUAUUGUAGUAUAUUUUUAAUGCAUGUUUAACGAUGAGAAUAUUGUGUGUGUGUACAUGUGUGCGAAGAAUUUGGCCAACUGUAUGUAACAGGCAUCUCAGAGUUUGGAGGAAUGGGUACCUGCUGCCCUUUUCUACCUUUUUACCAUAUUUAUUUUUCAGAGAUCGGGCAAUCUAGCAAACAAUUUCUAUAUACUGGUCACACGCACACAAACACCCAGAGUGAGUGUGUGUGGGUUAUAUACAUAAGAUGAGUGUAUUUAAUUUUGCUUAUGUCCAACAACGAUCUGUCUUCAACUGUUGUCAGUCGAUGAUUGAAUCAAAGCUCCUAAACCAAAAACCAUAGCAAAAAGAACAACACUUGAUUUUUCGUUCGUUGUUUUCGUCGUCAAUAAGACAUUCGUAUUUUUGCUAGCUAGUUAGUUCUUCUGUAUUAACGAGUAGGCAAAACUAAAACUCACUCACUCACUCACGCUGUCAGUAUUGUAGUAAGGUGUGCGCUCGAGUCAAACACACAAACAAUCUAAGAACAUAGCACAUUGUAGCUACAUUAUAAACACAUAUAUCAUCACAGCCAUGAAACACGCGAACCGAUUCCCCAGUAUUAACCCUUUGUCUGUCUUUCUGCCAUUUAAGCUUUCUGUUUGCAUGUCUCUCUUUCUCUCUCUCUCUCUCUGUAUGUCUACGUGUGUUUUGCUUAAUAUUUCUCCUCCGUCACGUUUAUUUCUUUUCGUCGUAUCAUUUCAAUUGUACUGUCUGUUGUAUUGUCAUCAUUACUUGCCUCAAUUAGUAAUGCGAUUGCUAAAAUAUAGAGUAAAAUCAUUUCUGCUCUCUCUCUCUCUCUCUCUCUCUCUCUCUGAUCGAUAUUAUAUUAUUAUUGUGAUCAAUAAUGAUUUCUCUUAUUUGCCACAAGGGCGUCGAAUGAAGGAGACAUUACAAGGACAAAUUUGAAAGAAAAUACCGGUAGCAAUUUACGUAGAAUUGAUUAUGCAAAAUAAAAAUAAAAAAUAACAGCGAACGCAUUAAAAAAUAAAUGUAAAUAAUUACAAUGUAGAGAUGAUUUUUCGAUCGACAGAAUCCACAAAUUUGAGGGAAGCAGUUGGAUCGAUGAAAUCGCGCCCCACUCUAUUUACUACUACUACUUCUGAUCUAAUGGUCUUCAAUAUAAGUACCAGGGGCGUACUGGGGUGGGAAUCGAAAUAGUCUGCUAUUUGUCUCUCUAUCCCCACCCAUUUACACAAUUCCUAAAUAUCCUGGCCUCGUGUCACUAAUAAUAAUAAUAAUUAUUAUUAUUAUUAUUAUUAUCGUUCUUACUAAUGUUUAUGAGUGUGGUUUGUGUGUGUAUUUCUGGUUUUAUUUUCUUUUACUUUUGGUUUUGGCUUUAUCCAGUGUAUGAAUGUAUGAGAGAUUACGGUGGCUUCUGCCACUUCACAAAAAUAUGUUAGCUGCCGUAGAAAAAAGAAAAAAAAAAGAGACAGACUGUGAGAAUGGAGGAGAGAGAAAUCACAGGCGAAACAAACAUAAAAUGAUUAACCCAAGUUUGAAACACACACACACACACUCAGAGUAUAAUGUGUGUGUGUAAGAUUUAAAGGAACUGAACAGGUUAUUGACCGAUUUCCCACCACCACCCUCUCAACACGGCACUUGAUGGCGAUGGUGGUGGUGGUGAUGAUGAUACUGGUGUGUUAUUCGUCAGUGUUUUUACUGUUGUUGACUUGCUUUUGAUGUGUUCUCGUUUUACCUUCCGGG